GGCUAGAAUGCUUCCCCUCCCAUUGUGGCUGAGCUGAAAGACAAACAUCUAGAACGAAAGAACCAGGCAGAAGCUAAACACACGCCUUUCUAACCUAGUUUCACCAGUAAUACAAUGUCACUUCUACUGUAUUCACAGGACCAUCCAGAUUCAAGAAGAGGAAACGCAGAUGCCAUCUGUGAUGGUUAGCAUUAUGUGUCAACUUGAUUGGAUUGAAGGAUGCUUAAAUAGCUGGUAAAGUAUUGUUUCUGUGUGUGUCUAUGAGGGCGUUGCCAGAGGAGAUUGACAUUUGAGUCCGUGGACUGGGAGAGGAAGACACACCCUCAGUAUGGGUGGGCACCAUCCAAUCGGCUGCCAGACCAGCUAAAACAAAGCAGAUGGAAGAAGGUGGGAUAAGCCGGCUUGCUGAGUUUUCUGGCUUCCAUCUUUCUCCCCUGCUGGAUGUUUCUUGCCCUUGGACAUCAGACUCCAGAUUCUUCGGCCUUUGGACUCUUGGACUCACUCUAGUGGUUUGCCUGGGACUCUCAGGCCUUCGGCUACAGAUUGAAGGCUACGCUGUCGACUUCUUUACUUUUGAGGCUCUUGGACUUGGAAUGAGCCACUGCUGGCUUCCUACCUCCUCAGCUUGCAGAUGGCUUAUCAUGGGACUUCACCUUGUGAUCGUGUGAGUUAAUUCUUAAUAAACUCCCUUUCAUAUAUACACCUACCCUAUUAGUUCUGUCCCUCUGCAGAACCCUAAUACACCAUCCUUUAAUAGAAGAAUAUCAAUAUCCUAUUAUAAAAAGAAUACAAGAAUACAAAAUAAUAUAUAUUCCAAAUUGUUGUAUUCUUUAUAUACAUCACACAUAUAUAUCACACAUAUAUGUAUGUGUGUGUAUGUAUUGCACCAUUUUAGACAAAUACAAUCUGUUACCCACACUCACUGAAGUGGCUUAAAAAAAAUAGCUCCAGAACAGAGAUGAAACAGCCUUGCAUUGGCAAGAGGAUAGUUUUUCUGUUAAGGAGGGGCUAGGCCAGGAAUUCAGCUGACUGUGAGCCAAUUUAAAGAGAACAAGGAGAACCAAGAAAGCUAUGCAAGCC
rnacentral:lncRNA from 1 species